rnacentral:rRNA from 1 species
UACAGAGGUCCCAAGCGUUGUUCGGAUUCAUUGGGCGUAAAGGGUGCGUAGGCGGCGCGGUAAGUCGGGUGUGAAAUCUCGGGGCUUAACUCCGAAACUGCAUUCGAUACUGCCGUGCUUGAGGACUGGAGAGGAGACUGGAAUUUACGGUGUAGCGGUGAAAUGCGUAGAUAUCUAGAGGAACACCGGUGGCGAAAGCGACACCCUGGCCCGUAACUGACGCUGAGGCGCGAAAGCGUGGGUAGCAAACAGG